rnacentral:rRNA from 1 species
GAUGAACGCUGGCGGCGUGCUUAACACAUGCAAGUCGAACGGAAAGGCCCAAGCUUGCUUGGGUACUCGAGUGGCGAACGGGUGAGUAACACGUGGGUGAUCUGCCCUGCACUUCGGGAUAAGCCUGGGAAACUGGGUCUAAUACCGGAUAGGACCACAUUUUGGAUGGUGUGGUGGAAAGUUUUUCGGUGUGGGAUGAGCUCGCGGCCUAUCAGCUUGUUGGUGGGGUAAUGGCCUACCAAGGCGUCGACGGGUAGCCGGCCUGAUAGGGUGUACGGCCACAUUGGGACUGAGAUACGGCCCAGACUCCUACGGGAGGCAGCAGUGGGGAAUAUUGCACAAUGGGCGCAAGCCUGAUGCAGCGACGCCGCGUGGGGGAUGACGGCCUUCGGGUUGUAAACUCCUUUCGCUAGGGACGAAGCGUUUUUGUGACGGUACCUGGAGAAGAAGCACCGGCUAACUACGUG